GAUGAACGCUGGCGGCGUGCCUAACACAUGCAAGUCGAACGAAAACACGAGGAGCUUUCCUUCUUGGCUUACGAGGGGGGGGGGGGUGUGAAAUGUGGAUAACACUGCUUUAUGGAUGGGGUUAACUCGUGAAAACGGUGCCAAAUACCGCAUAUCUAUUCAACACCAAGGUGCGAUAGCUACAGACGGUUUUCCUUUGACUUAUCGCAGAAUCCGCGCGGCAUUUGGUAGUUGGUGAGGUAACGGCUUACCAAGGCCACGAUGCGUAGCCGACCUGAGAGGGUGAUCAGCCACACUGGAACUGAGACACGGUCCAGACUCCUACGGGAGGCAGCAGUAGGGAAUCUUGCGCAAUGGGCGAAAGCCUGACGGAGCAACGCCGCGUGUAUGAUGAAGGUCUUCGGAUUGUAAAGCUCUUUUAGUAGGGAAGAACAAAGGUAUGAGUAACUAUUCGCUUAUUGACGGUACCCGAACAGAAAGCCACGGCUAACUACGUG
rnacentral:rRNA from 1 species